UUCAUCUUCAUCCACAUCCAUGUCAUCUGGGUCAAAGCCACUGAAGGGACGAGUGGAGCGGCUGCUGGCAAAGAAGAUAUCGAAGGGGUUGGAGCCACCAAAGAAGGAGGCAAAGGUGGCGUGGGGGUCCCCAUGAAAUGUGUAGUGAAAGGAGCCACUGGAGCCACCUGAGGGACCACCGCCGGUCUUCAAGCCUGGAGGAAGGAGAAGUUAGAAGAAGCGCAGCUGGUCCUGGCCCUACCCCAGUACCCUCUCCUGGCCCUCUAGCUAAAGAAGCAAACUUUAGUUUCCACAGAGAGCGCUGGCCUAAUAAAAUAAGAAAAGUCUCUGGCAAGAUUAAUUUAUAAUUAAUUGUGUUUAAUUGUGUUUGAUAAUAAAACACAUCUUGAGGCUCAGAGAGGCUGGGUUACCCAAUAGGUGGAAAAGCUAAGACUAGAAGACUUGAAGGAUGUGACUUCCAGUCCUGUAAUCUCUUCCAUGUACCGUGACCACAGCACCUUGGGUGGCUGGUGUGGGAUCACAUUGUAUGCCAUAGCUGGCUCCCAAAUCUCUGCUUAUAUCUGAAGAUAUACAGGGCAAGAAGCAAUCAGACAGAAUUUGACCACACAGGGGGCUAGUAAGUGACCUGUCUCAAAUAAGUGGGGAUAUGGUCCUGGAGGAAGCCCAUUUUCACUCUGCUUCAUGGUUUAUUCUUUCUCUGACUCCUGUCCAAAUGGAAAAUCAGGAGGACCCCCAAAAGCAGGGAAGCUCAUUAGCUUGGAGAUGAGAGCUGUUUCUCCAGAAAAAGUUUUCCAGAUGCUUUGUUCCCACACUCAGGGCUCACAGUGUUGCACAACUGCAGGGGGUGCUAUUCACACAUUGGACUGACAUAGGCUACAAUGGGAGUGGAGCUCCCUACACCCUGUAAACGAAUGUCAGAACAACUAAAAUGCAUGAAUAAGCUGGCAUACUGUUGCUCUAUCUGUGGAGUCAGGUCUGGUCUAAGGAGCUCAGAUUCCUUGAGGGAGUCUUCAUGGGGGGCUGGUAGUGGUGGUGAUUGGCAUAAUGGGGGGUAUGGGGAAAAGUGAGGGAGAUAGUUAACACUGAGAAAUUAUCUAGAUUUUGUAGACUGAGGGCUUAGGCCCAGGCUGGGAGAAUGGACUUUUCUCUUUGAGGCCUUUUACCUAGAAUUUCAAUUGACUGCGGAAGCCUGAGCCUAAAUUAGCCUCUUACUUCUAGGACCACAAGGACAGAUUUGAGUUUCAUUAGGGAGGCCAAGUGGCAGGCAGUUCAGAGACUUGUGGCAGCUGCCUCUUCACCCCUCUCCUAAGAGUCAGGACCUGUUCUUUUCUUCCAUUGAGGGUCUGAUUAUUAGGUGAGUUCAAGAAGCGUGGCAGAGCUCAGUGAGAGAGGGAGGGUGGACUGAUGAUAGGAGUGGCUAGUUUCUCUGUAGGGAUUCCUGCUACCACCCCUUUUCAAGCUGGGAACAACUUGUCCCCAGCUAGAACUGUGAGCAGCAUCUAUGUGCACAACUGUUCUGGCUGGCUUUGUGGAGGGGAGGUGUGGGGGUAGGGCAGACAGAAAUAUAACCCGAAUUUCCAAGGCUGCUUCUCCUUCUCCAGACCCUGGAUGUCUCCUUAAAUUAGUGCUGCAUUCUCAGGAGCCUUCUUGGGAUAUAGAUCUGUAUCAGAACCCAGUGUCUGGGCCUAGGGCCUGAGUUUUGCCCUUCCCUCUGGCUUGGUCCCAGUAGCUCUCCCAGCUCCUGCUUGUGAGGUGAGGCCAAGUGGAAGCCAAGUGGAGGCCAAGUGGAGGAAUGAGUGCAAUUCCUAGACAGAUCACAUGGUGGCAUGAUGCCUGCAUUGCUUCCUUUCUUCCCACCCUACCUGUCUCAUCCCUCCAUCCCAGAGAGAAAAAUUUCUAGCUGAGCAAAUACUGGGGAUUCCAGCAGAUGUCUGUGAAUCUGGGAGUUGGCAAGUAUAGUAGGUGAGCGGGGAAAGUGGAAGAACUAGUGGCAUGAAGAAUAUGAAGAGAGGGUUGGGAGGACUGGGGUACACAGAGGUUGGAGCAGGGGCCACAGAACAGAAAGCGAGGAGGAGGAGAGAAAAAGAACUUUUUGAGCAACUACUCUAUCCGGUACAGUACCUAUCAUUAGCCUAUCUAAUUUUGAGGCUAGAGUAGGGAAAGUGGGGAGGAGAAUGUGGAAGAAAGGUGGGUGCUGUUGGGGAGGAAGGACAGUUCUUCCUGGGAAGGAGAGUCCACAGCUGUGACAGUGUCUCUUAAUAUAGCCUGACAGGUGUCUGUGGCUGGCGGGUGGCAAGCAGCCCUGAGGGGCAGGCCCAGAAUUAGCAGCUACAUCAUGCCUGUGGGAUGUGCUGGGAGGGGCCACCCUCUCAGAGGCUUUAUUUGGGCCUUUCCUGCCACCCUGUGCAUGGCCACCAGCUACCCUGGGAGGGGGCAAGAUGCCAGCAGCAGUUCCCCUUCCAUCCUUGGAUCCUUGCCACUUCCUCAGGGAGGUGAAGCUCUACUUCUGUUCUGCUGGCCUGAAGUGGGCAGGGAGGGGGAGGGAAAGGGACAGUCAUCUCUCUAGCUCAGAAAUCCAGUGGUUAAUUCCCAGGCUGCUUAAGGGCCAAACUUUUAUGCUGAUAAAUGUAAAUGCUCUGUCCUCAGAGAGCCAAGUCACACACUCCCUUUCCCUAACCUUCCCCAUCAGCCAAUGAAGCAGCAAGGACUUCAGGCAGGACUAAUAAGGCUGGCCAGCAAAGAAGGCAGGGGGAAGGCCUUUGGUUCUAGCUUCAGACCUCUCUAAGGCCUGAACUUGAGGAGGGAGAGGGGCAGAGAGAGGCGGGGGAGAGCCACGGUCACAUUGAUCUCAUUGGUCCCAUCUGCCAGAUAUCAGCCAUCUGCACCCCUCAAGUCUGUUCUUCUUCAAUGGAAGCUCAAGGAAGCCACUUCUAUUAAAGAAGGAUGUCACUAGAUUUGGCUGUGUGGAAGAGGAGGAAGGGCAACAGGGAAACCCUUCCAGAAUGGCUCUGUGGAUUCUGCAGCAGAGAGGGUGGUCUCAGGACGUGCCAACCUCUGAAGGGUUCCUCUAGUUCUCCAGUUAAGUCCUGUCAAAGACCACACCCAGAGGUCUCUCCCAGACCCAAUUAAACCCAGAGUGGCCCACAGGCAUCAGUAUAGUGGGGCUGCCAGAGAAGGAAGCCACACCCUGAAAUCUGGAGAUUCAGAUGAAAUCAGUUCCUGCAGCAGUCUCAUCCCCAAUUAAACUGUCCUCAUCCACUUACUCAAUCAUCACAUUUCUUGAGCAUGUGCUAUUGCAAAGCCCUAUACUUGGUAUCUUAAUGCAAUUUAUUAACAAAUAUACAUUCAUGCUUCUGCCUCUCCUUGAUAUUUUUCCCCAAAUAAACUUCUAAAAACA